AUGCCUGUCCAGGAUACUGGCAGCAGCAUAGGUCUUCUAAGUUUCACCCGUGCAUAUGCUUUUGGUUCACUCUCAACUGAAGAAACUGGGACAUGGCAUUUGCCUUUGCGAGAAGUAUGCACACUGUAUAUGUUACCACCCAUGAGUCUCAGUCAUCCGAUCCAUAGAUCACAAGAAGAAGAAGGGUAAGUACAGAACAAUUAGAUAUUUUGAAAGAGUCCACAUUACAGUAUAUAGUUACUGUUUUGUUUUAUUAUUGUUAUUAAUGUCUUUUUGUGUCUAAUUUAUAAAUUAAACAUCAUUAUAGUAUGUGUGUAUAGAAAAAACAUAGUAGAUAUGGGAUUUGGUACCAUCUGUAAUUUCAGGCAUCCACUGGGGGUCUUGGAAUGUAUCCCCUGCCAUUAAUGGCAGUACUGCUGUAACAAGUUGAUGGUUGCUGCGUGUACAUAGUGGAUCUUGUGAUUCAUGGUAUUCACAGUAGAGUUAUCUACCCGGACGAUAUUUUGGAUACUUUAUGCUAUUAUAUUUAAGUGGUUUUUAAAACAUUUCCCUUUUGGAAUAGUUAGAAGUUCCAAAGAAUGUUCUCCUCAUC
rnacentral:lncRNA from 1 species